UCAGCCCUACGGGACGCAGCAGUAGGGAAUUUUGCGCAAUGGGCGAAAGCCUGACGCAGCAACGCCGCGUGAUCGAGACGCCCUUCGGGGUGUAAAGAUCUGUCAGUGGGGACGAAACUUGACGGUACCCACAGAGGAAGCACCGGCUAACUCCGUGCCAGCAGCCGCGGUAAUACGGGGGGUGCAAGCGUUGUCCGGAAUCAUUGGGCGUAAAGAGUUCGUAGUCGGCACGUAAAGUCUGGUGUUAAAGGCAGAGGCUCAACUUCUGUACGGCACUGGAUACUUUCGAGCUAGAAUGCGGUCGG
rnacentral:rRNA from 1 species